rnacentral:lncRNA from 1 species
AAAAAAUCCUUAAACUCUUUCAACAUUAAUAUUGCCUGUGAGGAAUCCAGCCGCGACCUAAGCCUCGGAGCUUUUCGAACCUAGCAAGCAGAAGGGUGCAGUUUUGUGUUAAUAUAAGAGAAGUGUGGCCUUCCUUCUCGUCGCGCUAAAAGUGAACUAAUCCCUGUGUAAGGAACCAGCAAUGAACCAUCUGUAAGGAGCAAGUGUCCCUUCGUCUGCCU